rnacentral:tRNA from 1 species
GGAGUAGCUCAUUUGGUUAGAGCGUGUGGCUGUUAACCACAAGGUUGAAGGUUCAAGUCUUAGUCCA